AUUGAACGCUGGCGGCAUGCUUUACACAUGCAAGUCGAACGGCAGCGCGGGGCAACCUGGCGGCGAGUGGCGAACGGGUGAGUAAUACAUCGGAACGUACCCAGAAGUGGGGGAUAACGUAGCGAAAGUUACGCUAAUACCGCAUACGUUCUACGGAAGAAAGUGGGGGACCUUCGGGCCUCAUGCUUUUGGAGCGGCCGAUGUCUGAUUAGCUAGUUGGUGAGGUAAAGGCUCACCAAGGCGACGAUCAGUAGCUGGUCUGAGAGGACGACCAGCCACACUGGGACUGAGGCACGGCCCAGACUCCUACGGGAGGCAGCAGUGGGGAAUUUUGGACAAUGGGCGCAAGCCUGAUCCAGCAAUGCCGCGUGAGUGAAGAAGGCCUUCGGGUUGUAAAGCUCUUUUGUCAGGGAAGAAACGGCUGAGGAUAAUACCUUCGGCUAAUGACGGUACCUGAAGAAUAAGCACCGGCUAACUACGUG
rnacentral:rRNA from 1 species